rnacentral:rRNA from 1 species
AGCAGUAGCCACGGUAAUACGUAGGGUGCAAGCGUUAAUCGGAAUUACUGGGCGUAAAGCGUGCGCAGGCGGUUAUAUAAGACAGAUGUGAAAUCCCCGGGCUCAACCUGGGAACUGCAUUUGUGACUGUAUAGCUAGAGUACGGCAGAGGGGGAUGGAAUUCCGCGUGUAGCAGUGAAAUGCGUAGAUAUGCGGAGGAACACCGAUGGCGAAGGCAAUCCCCUGGGCCUGUACUGACGCUCAUGCACGAAAGCGUGGGGAGCAAACAGGAUUAGAUACCCCCGUAGUCCCUGUCUCUUAUAA